rnacentral:tRNA from 1 species
GCUGGUAUGGCUCAGUGGAUAGAGCGCUGGACUGUAGACUCAAGGGACCCUGGUUCGAUUCCGGUCAAGGGCA